rnacentral:hammerhead_ribozyme from 1 species
AUCUAACUGAUUAGUCCCAAAUAGGACGAAACGCGCGUCCUGGAU